rnacentral:rRNA from 1 species
CCCUUAGAUGUCCGGGGCUGCACGCGCGCUACACUGAAUGAAUCAGCGUGCUAGAAAACCUUGUUUGACAUGGCUAGGUAACCCAUUGAAAAUCAUUCGUGAUUGGGAUCGGGACUUGCAAAUGUGUCCCUUGAACGAGGAAUUCCCAGUAAGUGCGGGUCAUCAGCUCGCGUUGAUUACGUCCCUGCCCUUUGUACACACCGCCCGUCGCUGCCCGGAACUGAGCCGUUUCGAGAAGACCGAGGAUUGCUGACUUGAGGCCUUCACGGGCUUCUAGUCGGUGAAAAGCAAUUUAAUCGCAGCGGCUUGAACCGGGCAAAAGUCGUAACA